CCGCAGUCCGAGUGGUGGUCGAUUUUAUUGGGCCUAAAGCGUCCGUAGCCGGUCUGGAAAAUGCCUGGGUAAAUCGUCUGGCUCAACCAGACGAAUUCCGGGCAGACUACCAGACUUGGGACCGGUUGAGGGAGAGGGUACUUCAGGGGUAGGAGUGAAAUCUUGUAAUCCCUGAAGGACCACCAGUGGCGAAGGCGCUCUCCUAGAACGGGUCCGACGGUGAGGGACGAAAGCCAGGGGAGCAAACCGGAUUAGAUACCCGAGUAGUCC
rnacentral:rRNA from 1 species